rnacentral:tRNA from 1 species
AUUCUUAUAGUGUAUAUAAGCACAUUAGAUUUUCAAUCUUUUAGAGUACAUUUAUAAGUAGAACUGUAUUAAGAAUAUA